GGCACUUUAGCUCAGUUGGUAGAGCAACCUGCUCAUAACAGGUAGGAUGAGGGAUCGUAGCCCUUCGGUGUCACCA
rnacentral:tRNA from 1 species